rnacentral:rRNA from 1 species
AUUGAACGCUGGCGGCAGGCCUAACACAUGCAAGUCGAGCGGAUGAAGGGAGCUUGCUCCUGGAUUCAGCGGCGGACGGGUGAGUAAUGCCUAGGAAUCUGCCUGGUAGUGGGGGAUAACGUCCGGAAACGGGCGCUAAUACCGCAUACGUCCUGAGGGAGAAAGUGGGGGAUCUUCGGACCUCACGCUAUCAGAUGAGCCUAGGUCGGAUUAGCUAGUUGGUGGGGUAAAGGCCUACCAAGGCGACGAUCCGUAACUGGUCUGAGAGGAUGAUCAGUCACACUGGAACUGAGACACGGUCCAGACUCCUACGGGAGGCAGCAGUGGGGAAUAUUGGACAAUGGGCGAAAGCCUGAUCCAGCCAUGCCGCGUGUGUGAAGAAGGUCCUCGGAUUGUAAGGCACUUUAAGUUGGGAGGAAGGGCAGUAAGUUAAUACCUUGCUGUUUUGACGUUACCAACAGAAUAAGCACCGGCUAACUUCGUG